GAUGAACGCUGGCGGCGUGCUUAACACAUGCAAGUCGAACGAAGCAUUUAUUUCGGAUCUUUCGGGAGAAGAGAUUUAUGACUGAGUGGCGGACGGGUGAGUAACGCGUGGGGAACCUGCCCCAUACCGGGGGACAACAGUUGGAAACGACUGCUAAUACCGCAUAAGCGCACAGGGCUGCAUGGCCUGGUGUGAAAAACUCCGGUGGUAUGGGAUGGCCCCGCGUCUGAUUAGGCAGUUGGCGGGGUAACGGCCCACCAAACCGACGAUCAGUAGCCGACCUGAGAGGGUGACCGGCCACAUUGGGACUGAGACACGGCCCAAACUCC
rnacentral:rRNA from 1 species